rnacentral:rRNA from 1 species
AAAGAAAGUAAGCAAGGGCGCAUGGCGGAUGCCUUGGCUCUCGGAGGCGAUGAAGGACGUGAUAAGCUGCGAUAAGCUUCGGGUAGGUGCAAAUAACCUUUGAUCCGAAGAUUUCCGAAUGGGACAACCCGUCAUUCUGAAGGAAUGACAUCUUGCAUAGCAAGAGGCUAACGCAGGGAACUGAAACAUCUUAGUACCUGCAGGAAAAGAAAAUAAUAAUGAUUCCCCUAGUAGUGGCGAGCGAACGGGGAUUAGCCCAAACCAAUGUUGUUACGGCAAUAUUGGGGUUGUAGGACCACGAUGUCGCAAGAAAUUUAGUGAGAAGAAUUCUUUGGAAAAUGAAACCAUAGACGGUGAUAGUCCGGUAUUCGAAGCUAAACGAAGCGUAGUGGUAUCCUGAGUAGCGCGGGACACGAGGAAUCUUGCGUGAAUCUGCCGGGACCAUCCGGUAAGGCUAAAUACUCCCGAGAGACCGAUAGCGAACCAGUACUGUGAAGGAAAGGUGAAAAGCACUUCGAAUAGAAGAGUGAAAUAGUCCCUGAAACCGUGCGCCUACAAGCGGUCGGAGCAGCGUAAGU